GAUAGUGAGGUUAAGCGAUAGAAGAGGAUUGUUUAGUUUGAUUGUUAUGAGGUUGAUGGGUUUUAUUGUACUGUGAUUUGAGGAUUUGAGUUGUUUUGUUCAUGUUGAUUGGUUUCCGAGAUUCCGCUCGUUUUCUCUUGCAUUUCUACAAUGGAUUUCGGAAAUGUUUGCAGGGAUGUUUGCUCCUCUAGGAUUUAUAGGAUUGAUUUGGGUUCUUGCGACGAUAGUUAGGUAAUUCUUCUUCGAUUUGGGAUCUUCUCUUUCCGUGUUAUCUUGUUGCUUUAGCCUUACUGUGUUCUGCAGAACUGGAAUCGGUUGUGAAGAUUUGAGUUUUGUUUGUGUUCGUAGACUGUUUUGAUGGGUUGCGUUUUAAGAUUUGGAGAGGUUCUCGAUGUGCUGGCUAAUCUAUGAAGUAUCGUUGGUUUUCCCUCGAGUUACUGCAGCAGAUCUGGGAUUUUAUCGUGGAGUUUUGGUUACUACCAAAUUGGGAAAUUGCUUUUAUGGAUUUGGUGUAUUGUUGGAUGCUAAUUAAGUGUCUUCUGUUAGGGUAUUGGUUUGUGGUUAAUUCUUGGUUUCGAUGCUGAAAUUGUUCAUACUGGAUUCUUAAGGAAUAUGGCAUUGUACACUUGAAUGGUUGUAGAAGGAUGUAAAAGGUGAGGGAGACAUAUCCCAGGAUGGGAUGGAGGGAACGCAGACGGGGGUAGUCGAGGAGACCUGAUGGAUACACGGUACCAUCCAGAAGGCUCAGCAGUGCUUUGUAGUUUUUGGUCUGUUGGAAUAAAGUUGUUACUGGUGUACAUGGUCACGCGGGUGUUUCACUUGUCUUCGUAUUUUCGGACAGUGAUGUUUUCUUUAUGAGGAGUAUGGUAUUUUACUGAGAUGGAUUUGUUCAAUGUCUUUUGUACGCUGGUCAUAAAAAAAAAAAUUGCCUAAGUUUAGGGAUGUUUCAAAUUCAGUCGUAUGGAUUUAUUCAGUGCCCGGAUGGGUCUUGUGUAAAGAAAAAGUAUGAUGGAAACGUGGUCGUAUUUCUUGUACUAUA